UACAGCGGGUAGUCGCUGUUCCGUUCAACGGGGCAGAGGAAAGUCGAGACACGCACACUUUGCUGCAGUUUUCGGCCGUCAGGCCGGUUAAUUACAGCGAGUGUAAAAUGGUGCCCGGCGCAAGCCGGGGCAGGGCGACCUGACGACGGUGAAAACAACUCUCUGAGUUGCAAGUAACUGUAAAGUGCCACAGAAACCAUGUCACCGGGCGACCGGUGAGUGCAAGGGUAAACUCCACCAGCGUGCAACCCAAAUAGGCAGGGGCGUUAGUCACCUGCGGGUAGGGGCACCUCGCUCAGGCGGGGAAGGAGAGUAUUCUCCUUAGAUAGAUGACUACUAAAACAGAAUCUCGCUUACGGCU
rnacentral:RNase_P_RNA from 2 species